rnacentral:rRNA from 1 species
UACGGAGGGUGCGAGCGUUGUUCGGAAUUAUUGGGCGUAAAGCGCGUGCAGGCGGUUUUGUAAGUCUGAUGUGAAAGCCCCGGGCCCAACCCGGGAAGUGCAUUGGAAACUGCAGGACUUGAGUACGGGAGAGGAGAGUGGAAUUCCUGGUGUAGGGGUGAAAUCCGUAGAUAUCAGGAAGAACACCGGUGGCGAAGGCGGCUCUCUGGACCGAUACUGACGCUGAGACGCGAAAGCGUGGGUAG